UGAGGCAGGAGAAUUGCUUGAACCCAGGAGGUGGAGGGUGCAGUGAGCCGAGAUCAUGCCACUGCACUCCAGCCUGGGUGACAGAGUGAGACUCCGUCUC
rnacentral:miRNA from 1 species